rnacentral:lncRNA from 1 species
UCGAGAUGGCUAUGUGCUUUAAUAGUUUUUGCUUCCUCUUUUAUCUAUCUAGAUUUCAUUUUCAGUUUUUCAAUUUCCCCCAAAUCAAAAACCCUAAACCCGAUUAAUCCAAUAUCUGUGUGUUAGCGUCGAAUCUAUGGCCAUUCUCUGCUAUCGAUGCCAUCCUCUGAAAUCGAAAAUCUCCAGAUCGGGAUUUGCGAUGGCUUCCUCUGUUCGUAUUUGUUCCCAUAUCUGGUUCCCGAUCUGAGACUCUUUCUCAGACGCGGUGUCGCGGUUGCAGUCGCUCUCUUGGGUUCAGUUCGCAAGCCUAGCCGCUGCCACCAGUGGCCUCUUCGGGUGCCGUCGGAGGUGUGGAUGUUAGCGACCGAACCUAUCCGGUAGUGCAUGAUUGGGUAAUCUCUAGCCUCUAUUCUUCUCUGAGCAUUUUGUGAUUUGGCUGAAUGUUUUUUGGGAGAUGGGGACACAGAAGGUGAUUGAUUUGAAGGUGAAUAUAUUGUGAUAUGAGAUGGGUAUGAUGAGGUUGAGUAUUCUGAGCUUUUGUUUUGAUGGUGAUAUUUGGCUAUCUCUCAGAUGCAGUAGGAGUUGGUAAUUCCUUUCCGAUUCAGUUUCCUUUCUCACUUGAAUUAUGGAAUCUUUUUAUGGUCUCAGAUGUUGUGCUCCGAUUUUCAGUUUUCCAGCUUUUUAUUUUUAUCGAAGUUGAAGUUGAAGUUGAAGUUUCAGAUUGAAGAAUUUUCUUUUUCUUUUUGGACUGGUGAUUGUGGCAUGAUAAUUUUGGAUUAUGGAUUGGUUCUCUGGCUCUAGCGUGCAGUUUAUAAAUGAAUUCGGUGAAUUAGUUUCUGGUUCCUCUGUUAUUUGGAAGUUGUUGCAUUCAAUUAUGAUUUGCCUCAUUUGAUUCCGCAGUAGUCCAUUCUGGUUAGAUGCCAUCUCUGCCUAUUCACAUUACACUGCUACGUGAAGAAAAUUUUGGGGUUAUAAGGUUGAUUUGUUGUGGUUUGGCCCGAUAUGCUCAUAUGCUGCUUGAAUAUAUUCAAUUGCCCACAGUCUUGUCCAUUUUUAUUUCUUUUUAGCCUAUCUUUCCUUUCUUAUUCUCUACCAUUUCCACUGAAACAAAAUUUUGUACAAUUACCAAUGAAAUUUUUACCAAAUCUGGUCCUGUUUUCCUGUAAGCUUCACUUUCACUUUGUUUGUACAAUUAUAUUUCAAACAACUUUGUACAAUUACCAGUGGCAUUUGGAUUCCUGUUCAAUUUCAGUCUUUGCUUCUAUUCAAUUACGAUACAGAAAGAAACAUCAAGUCCAAAAUCUGUUCACUUACUUUCUAAACCAAAUUUUGAAAAAGAGCACUACCAUUCGCUUUUGCCUUCUGCUUUUUUGUCUUCCUUGUCUUUCCUUUAUAAUCUUCUGGGCUAAGGCUGUGGGCACCUCAUUAAAAGUGAGACCAUGCAAAUGCAUAUGUAGCAGAAUGGUAGGUAAUAUGCAGUGUGUAGUGGAUGCAGCCUUUUAGAUUUUUCAGUAUGCAAAGUCAGAUAUCAACAAACUUUUCAAGUUCAAGAAGAAUUUUUAGUUUUUCCUCAUAUUAUGGUUUGUUUGCUGCACUGCUGCCCUUGCUGUCCUCCUUUAUGCUGCCUCAUUUGUUGCCGCAACCAACAAGCCAACAACAUAUUAGAGAUGCUUGGUUAUUGGCUUCUUAACUGAUAUUGCAUACAGUAUCUUGAGCAUUGAAGUAGACCCUGUUCUGAUGCAUUUGAGACUUAUAUAUCUUGAUCCAGCCAUUAUACUUGGGUGCUUCUAGUGUUAACACAUCUGCUGCAAGUCAAGAAGGAUAAUAGUCUUAUGAUAUCAAGUUGUUGGGUUCUUGAAUUGGGUGUUAUCUUGAAAUAGGCUAUAACUGUGUAUUUCUCCAACCAUUAUGCUUGUUCCCAAGCAUAUGGUUGGGGGGGUGUUAACUAUAUGUUAGGUUUAUAACAAUUGGGUCGCAAGGGUAUUUAUGUCAUUUUAUAUUUGUAGCUCUAUAUGUAAUUGUUGUAACCUCAUUCUCCAUCAAUGAGAAGAAAAACACAAUGUAGCCUCCAUAGCCUUUUUCCUCUCUUUUCAGCUUUUAUAUUCAAUAAAUCCAUGAUUUUUAGCAUUUCUAAACAUCUUAGAGCAAGCUGUGCUAUCUGUAAUGCUUCCUCGGAAGAAUAUUGGCCCUCCAUCUGCUCAUCCAUGAUGGUUUCCAACUCUAUUUCAUCACACAG